rnacentral:rRNA from 1 species
UACGGGGGGGGCAAGCGUUGUUCGGAAUUACUGGGCGUAAAGCGUGCGCAGGCGGUUAUGCAAGACAGAUGUGAAAUCCCCGGGCUUAACCUGGGAACUGCAUUUGUGACUGCAUAGCUGGAGUGCGGCAGAGGGGGAUGGAAUUCCGCGUGUAGCAGUGAAAUGCGUAGAUAUGCGGAGGAACACCGAUGGCGAAGGCAAUCCCCUGGGCCUGCACUGACGCUCAUGCACGAAAGCGUGGGGAGCAAACAGG